rnacentral:rRNA from 1 species
UACGGGGGGGGCAAGCGUUGUUCGGAAUUACUGGGCGUAAAGGGCGCGUAGGCGGCCACCGCAAGUCGGUUGUGAAAUCUCUGGGCUUAACCCAGAAAGGUCAACCGAUACUGCGGGGCUAGAGUGCAGAAGGGGCAACUGGAAUUCUCGGUGUAGCGGUGAAAUGCGUAGAUAUCGGGAGGAACACCUGUGGCGAAGGCGGCUUUCUGGGCCUUACCUGACGCUGAGACGCGAAAGCGUGGGGAGCGAACCGG